GACGAACGCUGGCGGCGUGCCUAAUACAUGCAAGUCGAGCGGAACCAUUGGAGCUUGCUCCUUUGGUUUAGCGGCGGACGGGUGAGUAACACGUGGGCAACCUGCCCUGCAGAUCGGGAUAACUCCGGGAAACCGGUGCUAAUACCGAAUAGUUUGCGGCCUCUCAUGAGGCUGCACGGAAAGACGGUUUCGGCUGUCACUGCAGGAUGGGCCCGCGGCGCAUUAGCUAGUUGGUGAGGUAACGGCUCACCAAGGCCACGAUGCGUAGCCGACCUGAGAGGGUGAUCGGCCACACUGGGACUGAGACACGGCCCAGACUCCUACGGGAGGCAGCAGUAGGGAAUCUUCCGCAAUGGACGAAAGUCUGACGGAGCAACGCCGCGUGAGUGAAGAAGGGUUUCGGAUCGUAAAACUCUGUUGUGAGGGAAGAACAAGUACCAAGUAACUACUGGUACCUUGACGGUACCUCACCAGAAAGCCACGGCUAACUACGUG
rnacentral:rRNA from 1 species